UACGGAGGGAGCUAGCGUUGUUCGGAAUUACUGGGCGUAAAGCGCACGUAGGCGGCUUUGUAAGUUAGAGGUGAAAGCCUGGGGCUCAACCCCAGAAUUGCCUUUAAGACUGCAUCGCUUGAAUCCAGGAGAGGUGAGUGGAAUUCCGAGUGUAGAGGUGAAAUUCGUAGAUAUUCGGAAGAACACCAGUGGCGAAGGCGGCUCACUGGACUGGUAUUGACGCUGAGGUGCGAAAGCGUGGGGAGCAA
rnacentral:rRNA from 1 species